rnacentral:lncRNA from 1 species
UCCACCCCAAGCUGAGGCACUGGACCAGGUGACCUUCUGAUCCUGCAAGCCAUCAGUUCAAGCCAUCAGCUCUCAGCCAAUGUUUCCCAAGCAUCCGACACCCAGGGGAUUCAAAGAUGGAUGAGAGUGAGAGGAGGAAUGCGUGUGAGUCCUCAGCAUGGGGAUGGAGAAGUUUUCAGCUUCUGGGUUCAAAUCCUGGCUCUACCAUCUACCAGCUGUAUGACUUUGAGAUUGGAAACUUCCUGAGACCUCCCCAGAAGCUGAUGCCACCAUGUUUGCUGUGCAGCCUACAGAACCGUGAGCCAA